rnacentral:rRNA from 1 species
UUCCGGUUGAUCCUGCCGGAGGUUACUGCUAUCGGGGUUCGAUUAAGCCAUGCAAGUUAAAUGUUUUUCGUAAACAUAGCGAACUGCUCAGUAACACGUGGAUAACUUAACCUUAGGUCCGGCAUAACCCCGGGAAACUGGGGAUAAUUCCGGAUGUAUCAAGGAUGCUGGAAUGCCCUUUGGUUCAAAGCUUUUGUGCCUAAGGAUAGGUCUGCGGUCUAUCAGGUUGUAGUGGGUGUAACGUACCUACUAGCCGACGACGGAUACGGGUUGUGAGAGCAAGAGCCCGGAGAUGGAUUCUGAGACACGAAUCCAGGCCCUACGGGGUGCAGCAGGCGCGAACACUUUACAGUGCGGGAAACCGCGAUAAGGGAACCCCGAGUGCCAGUACUAAGUGCUGGCUGUCUAGAUGAAUAGAUAUCAUUUAAUAGCAAGGGCCGGGCAAGACCGGUGCCAGCCGCCGCGGUAACACCGGCGGCCCGAGUGGUAACCGAUAUUAUUGGGUCUAAAGGGUCCGUAGCCUGUUUAAUAAGUCCUUUGGGAAAUCUGGCAGCUUAACUGUCAGGCUGCUAAAGGAUACUGUUAAACUUGGGACCGGUAGACGUAGGGGGUACUCCAGGGGUAGGAGUGAAAUCUUGUAAUCCCUGGGGGACCAUCUGUGGCGAAGGCGCCCUACGAGAACGGGUCCGACGGUGAGGGACGAAAGCUAGGGGAGCAAACCGGAUUAGAUACCCGGGUAGUCCUAGCUGUAAACGAUGCUCGCUAGGUGUCAGGCACGGUGCGUCCGUGUCUGGUGCCGCAGGGAAGCCGUUAAGCGAGCCACCUGGGGAGUACGGUCGCAAGGCUGAAACUUAAAGGAAUUGGCGGGGGAGCACUACAACGGGUGGAGCCUGCGGUUUAAUUGGAUUCAACGCCGGG